ACGGAAGGCAGCAGUGGGGAAUAUUGCACAAUGGGCGAAAGCCUGAUGCAGCGACGCCGCGUGAGUGAUGAAGUAUUUCGGUAUGUAAAACUCUAUCAGCAGGGAAGAUAAUGACGGUACCUGACUAAGAAGCACCGGCUAAAUACGUGCCAGCAGCCGCGGUAAUACGUAUGGUGCAAGCGUUAUCCGGAUUUACUGGGUGUAAAGGGAGCGCAGGCGGUACGGCGAGUCUGAUGUGAAAGCCCGGGGCUCAACCCCGGUACUGCAUUGGAAACUGUCGAACUAGAGUGUCGGAGGGGUAAGUGGAAUUCCUAGUGUAGCGGUGAAAUGCGUAGAUAUUAGGAGGAACACCAGUGGCGAAGGCGACUUACUGGACGAUAACUGACGCUGAGGCUCGAAAGCGUGGGGAGCAAACAGGAUUAGAUACCCUGGUA
rnacentral:rRNA from 1 species